rnacentral:tRNA from 1 species
GAGAAAGAAGCAUAGUGGAUUAAAUGCGGUUGGCUUGAAACCAAUUUAUGGGGGUUCGAUUCCUUCCUUUCUUG